rnacentral:ncRNA from 2 species
AAAAGCAGCGAUGUUUCAGGUAUCCCGACGGUAGCCACCCGAAGGAUGAAAUGGGAAGCCGGUACGCUUGGCCUGUUCUGCAGACCACAGCCAUCCCGGCGCUGCCCCCGCAACGGUAGACGAGAGCAAGGAUCUGCAGUACGCCACGGUGCCCACGCACGGGAAGGCGCAGGUUCAGGGGUCAAACCCGCUCGUGAGCCCGGAGACCGGCCUGAGACAUGCGAAUCGG